AAUGAACGCUGGCGGCGUGCUUAACACAUGCAAGUCGAGCGAGAAAGUUGGCUUCGGCCGACGAGUACAGCGGCGAACGGGUGAGUAACACGUGGGUAACCUGCCUGGAAGCGGGGGAUAACUUCGGGAAACCGGGGCUAAUACCGCAUACGCUUCAAGGAUCUCGAUCCGAGAAGGAAAGCUGGCCUAUACAUGUAAGCUGGCACUUCCAGAGGGGCCCGCGUUCGAUUAGCUUGUUGGUGGGGUAAUGGCCUACCAAGGCUGCGAUCGAUAGCCGGCCUGAGAGGGUGAUCGGCCACACUGGGACUGAGACACGGCCCAG
rnacentral:rRNA from 1 species